rnacentral:lncRNA from 1 species
GGUUUCACACAAGACACCAUAGAUUGGUUUUCUUCCUCAUUUGGUGUUACAGGAUCUAUUGGUUCAUCAACUUGAAGAUGAGAAUUCGUUAUAGGUUUCGCACAAGGCAGCGCAGAUUGGUUUUCUUCAUCAUUUGAUGUUACAGGAACCAUUGACUCAUCAACUUGAAGAUGGGAUUUCGUUAUAGGUUUCAAACAGGGCAGCGUAGAUUGGUUUUCUUCCUCAUUUGGUGCUACAGGAACCAUUGGUUCAUCAACUUGAAGAUGAGAUUUCGUUAUAGGUUUCAAACAGGGCACCGCAGGUUGUUUUUCUUCCUCAUUUGGUGUUACAAGAUCCAUUGGUUCGUCAACUUGAAGAUGGGAUUUCGUUAUAGGAUUCAAACAGGGCACUGCAGAUUGGUUUUCUUCCUCAUUUGGUGUUACAAGAUCCAUUGGUUCGUCAACUUGAAUAUGGAAUUUCGUUAUAGGUUUCAAACAGGGCACCGUAGAUUGGUUUUCUUCCUCAUUUGGUGUUACAAGAUCCAUUGGCUCAUCAACUUGAAGAUGGGAUUUCGUUAUAGGUUUCAAACAGGGUAGCGCAGAUUGAUUUCCUUCCUCAUUUGGUGUUACAGGAUCAAUUGGUUCAUCAACUUGAAGAUGGGAUUUCAUUAUAAGUUUCAAACAGGGCACCGCAGAUUGGUUUUC